CCCCGGGACCGGUUCCGGCCGGGCCGAGGGGAGCCGGGAGGCCGCGCCUUUGCCCUGAGAGCCGCUCGGAGCGGGGUAGCCGGUGCCGCCCGCCCUCGGCAGAGCCACGCGGGGGUCGCCCGCGGCCACCCCGCCCUCGGCCGCCGCAGGGAGCCGGCCCGGACGGGAACCUGCCCGGAGCGAGUCGGAGCCGGAGCCGGAGCCGGAGGGAACGUGCCGCUGUCCGGCUCUGGACCGCGCAGCUUGGGGUUCUGGGAAUUGUGGUCUUUCCCCGAAAUCCCGGCUUUUUAAGCACUUUGCACUGAAGCCAUCCGAAGCAGCCCUGUUGCUUGCAGCAGAGGGGCCAGAGGUCCAGAGACCUUGAGUUGUUCACCUAAGGAGAAUGCAGCAUGAAAUUCAAGGAAAACUGCCUGUAAUCCAACACUGAGGGAGUCAGAGGCAAGUGGAUUUCUGUGAGUUCCAGGACAGCCAAUGCUAUGCAGAGAAACCCUGUCUCGAAAACGAAACAACAAAAAGAAAUUCAAGUAAAAUUAGAACGGCCAUGGAAGGACGUGCCUAUCGUUGUGGAAGAAACUGUUUUCUUUCGAACCCAUAAAGAAAUCCAAAUGAAACGAGA